NCGCCUGCUUGCUGCGUGAGACUGAGUAACUGCUAGAUCCUUGGACUUCCAUUCACAGCUGCGACUGAACAAUUGUUGGGAAUUGGGCUGCCGACUAUUGUGAGAAUUCAAUGUGAACAUCUUUGAAAUGCAGUUUCAAAUCUCCCACACGCUGACAAGAGCCACGUGAACCAUUGUGCAGCACUGCACCCAUUUGACAGAUGAGAGCAUGGAUACCUAACCGGAGCCUGGCAGGUCUUGGACAGCAGAGGCCACCCUGCAUCUGACACCAUCUCUUGUAAUCCAUGACUUCUCUUCCUGCCUCCAUGAAUCUCCAGAUAACAGAUUCCUGCCCUCCUAAAAGAUGGGACAAGACAAACACCAAAGGGCAGUGUUGGACUGCAGGGGGGACCAGGAGACCUUACUGACUCGUCGGCAAUAAAGUUUGUGUGGAACUGACAUCCUAGCAGGCUCC
ensembl:sense_intronic Gm33248 predicted gene, 33248